rnacentral:rRNA from 1 species
GACGAACGCUGGCGGCGUGCUUAACACAUGCAAGUCACGGGGGCCCGCAAGGGUAACCGGCGAACGGGUGCGUAACACGUGAGCAAUCUGCCGUCCACUGGGGGAUAGCCGGCCCAACGGCCGGGUAAUACCGCAUACGCUUGCCGGGUGGCAUCACUUGGCAAGGAAACCUCCGGGGGUGGACGAGGAGCUCGCGGCCUAUCAGCUAGUUGGUGGGGUCACGGCCCACCAAGGCGAUGACGGGUAGCUGGUCUGAGAGGAUGGCCAGCCACAUUGGGACUGAGAUACGGCCCAGACUCCUACGGGAGGCAGCAGUGGGGAAUAUUGCGCAAUGGCCGCAAGGCUGACGCAGCGACGCCGCGUGGGGGAUGAAGCAUUUCGGUGUGUAAACCCCUGUUGCCCGGGACGAACCUCCCCGUUCGAGGGGACUGACGGUACCGGGUGAGGAAGCACCGGCUAACUCCGUG